CCUACGUGAGGCAGCAGUGGGGAAUAUUGCACAAUGGGGGAAACCCUGAUGCAGCGACGCCGCGUGAGUGAUGAAGUAUUUCGGUAUGUAAAGCUCUAUCAGCAGGGAAGAUAAUGACGGUAUCUGACUAAGAAGCUACGGCUAAAUACGUGCCAGCAGCCGCAGUAAUACGGAUGGAGCAAGCGUUAUACGGAUUUACUGGGUGUAAAGGGAGCGCAGACGGCAGGGCAAGUCUGAUGUGAAAGUCCGGGGCUCAACCCCGGGACUGCAUUGGAAACUGUCCGGCUAGAGUGCAGGAGAGGUGAGUGGAAUUCGUGGUGUAGCGGUGAAAUGCGUAGAUAUCAGGAGGAACACCGGCGGCGAAGGCGGCCUGCUGGACUGAAACUGACGUUGAGGCUCGAAAGCGUGGGGAGCAAACAGGAUUAGAUACCCCAGUAGUC
rnacentral:rRNA from 1 species